rnacentral:lncRNA from 1 species
UAUGUAUAUGUUUGUAUGUGUAUAUAUAUAUAUAUAUGUAUAUGUGUAUGUAUAUAUAUAUAUGUAUGUAUGUAUGUAUGUAUGUAUGUAUAUGUAUGUUUUGUCCUUGUUAGCUGUGACUAUUUUGACAAGUGAUUCAGGUAUAAAUGCUAUGGUUGAUUUAUUACUAUGAUGAUGGUAGAGGCGGUGGUGAUUGCGGUGGUGGUGGCUGACGGUGGAGGUGGUAGUGGCUGACGGUGGAGGUGGUAGUGGCGUCUGAUGGCAGUGGCAGAGGUUUAGGGCGGGGGAGGGGCAGGUUUACAAUAGCAAUGGUAAUGAUGGUAUCAG